CUCGAAAACAGAUAUCUCGGCUCUCACAUCGAUGAAGAACAUAAUAAAAUGCGAUACUUGGUGUGAAUUGCAGAAUCCCAUGAACCAUCGAGUUUUUGAAUGCAAGUUGUGCUCGAAGCCUUUUGGUCAAGGGCACGUCUUCCUGGGCAUCACG
rnacentral:rRNA from 1 species